rnacentral:misc_RNA from 1 species
AAGAAAACGACGUCGAUUGUGCGCCCUCGGGCUGGCACGUCGACUUCCACACACUUGUGCACCUUCGACGGGAGGGGGGGAGACCUCCUCCCGUUGCUUUAACCUAACCCAAGUCAGUCCUGAAUGUGAAUCUCUUUAAAAUUAAAUA